rnacentral:rRNA from 1 species
UACGUAGGGUGCGAGCGUUUAAUCGGAAUUACUGGGCGUAAAGCGUGCGCAGGCGGUUUUGUAAGCCAGAUGUGAAAUCCCCGGGCUUAACCUGGGAAUGGCAUUUGGGACUGCAAGGCUGGAGUUUGGCAGAGGAGACUGGAAUUCCUGGUGUAGCAGUGAAAUGCGUAGAUAUCAGGAGGAAUACCGAUGGCGAAGGCAGGUCUCUGGGCUGAAACUGACGCUCAUGCACGAAAGCGUGGGGAGCAAACAGG